rnacentral:misc_RNA from 1 species
UGGCUCUGGCAUCGAUGAAGAACGCAGCGAAAUGCGAUAAGUAAUGUGAAUUGCAGAAUUCAGUGAAUCAUCGAAUCUUUGAACGCACAUUGCACCUUCCAGCAUUCUGGUAGGUAUGCCUGUCCGAGCGUCAUUUCAACCCUCAAGCGCUGCUUGGCGUUGGGGCUCUGCGCCGCCGGCGCAGGCCCUCAAGACCAGUGGCGGGACCCCCGCGGCACCCAGCGCAGUACAUACUCCUCGCUGCGGCGCGCCCGGGGGCCCCUGCCGUAAAACAAACAAACCCUCCAAGGUUGACCUCGGAUCAGGUAGGAAUACCCGCUGA